GCAUUGGUGGUUCAGUGGUUGAAUUCUCGCCUGCCACGCGGGAGGCCUGGGUUUGAUUCCCGGACAAUGCA
rnacentral:tRNA from 1 species